UACGGAGGGUGCGAGCGUUGUCCGGAAUCACUGGGCGUAAAGGGCGCGUAGGUGGCGGAGCAAGUCAACGGUGAAAGCUCGACGCUCAACGUCGAGUCGGCCGUCGAGACUGCUUUGCUCGAGCACUGUAGAGGCAGAUGGAAUUCCGGGUGUAGCGGUGGAAUGCGUAGAGAUCCGGAAGAACACCGGUGGCGAAGGCAGCUUACUAUGGUAUUAUUGACGCUGAGGCACGAAAGCGUGGGGGAUCAAAACAGG
rnacentral:rRNA from 1 species